CCUACGGGGUGCUGCAGUGAGGAAUAUUGGUCAAUGGACGAGAGUCUGAACCAGCCAAGUAGCGUGAAGGAUGACUGCCCUAUGGGUUGUAAACUUCUUUUAUAUGGGAAUAAAAUGUUCCACGUGUGGGAUUUUGUAUGUACCAUAUGAAUAAGGAUCGGCUAACUCCGUGCCAGCAGCCGCGGUAAUACGGAGGAUCCGAGCGUUAUCAGGCUUUAUUGGGUUUAAAGGGAGCGUAGGUGGAUUGUUAAGUCAGUGGUGAAAGUUUGCGGCUCAACCGUAAAAUUGCAGUUGAAAAUGGCAGUCUUGAGUACAGUAGAGGUGGGCGGAAGUCGUGGUGUAGCGGUGAAAUGCUUAGAUAUCACGAAGAACUCCGAUUGCGAAGGCAGUUCACUGGACUGCAACUGACGCUCAUGCACGAAAGCGUGGGUAUCGAACAGGAUUAGAUACCCUUGUAGUC
rnacentral:rRNA from 1 species